rnacentral:rRNA from 1 species
GACGAACGCUGGCGGCGUGCUUAACACAUGCCAGUCGAACGGAAAGGCCCUGCUUUUGUGGGGUGCUCGAGUGGCGAACGGGUGAGUAACACGUGAGUAACCUGCCCUUGACUUUGGGAUAACUUCAGGAAACUGUGGCUAAUACCGGAUAGGAGCUCCUGCUGCAUGGUGGGGGUUGGAAAGUUUCGGCGGUUGGGGAUGGACUCGCGGCUUAUCAGCUUGUUGGUGGGGUAGUGGCUUACCAAGGCUUUGACGGAUAGCCGGCCUGAGAGGGUGACCGGCCACAUUGGGACUGAGAUACGGCCCAGACUCCUACGGGAGGAAGCAGUGGGGAAUAUUGCACAAUGGGCGGAAGCAUGAUGCAGCAACGCCGCGUGCGGGAUGAAGGCCUUCGGGUUGUAAACCGCUUUCGCCUGUGACGAAGCGUGAGUGACGGUAAUGGGUAAAGAAGCACCGGCUAACUACGUG